UACUCAAACCCUUGAAUAUUAAAGAUUCUUUUCAACGCAUAAUAAAGCUUAUUAAAGUAUAGGAAAUACUGUGCGAUGAGGUAAACUGAUACGCAAGCUAUUAAUCACAAAUCACAAGAAAUAAUACCAAACUAUCCACGGAAAACUUGAUCAGAGCGUGGUGAACAUGAUUUAAUAUCAUGACUUUUUUGUAAUUUAGUUUGAUGCAUGGAAAUUUUUUGUUGGACUACUCGACAAAAUAUAAUGAAUUUUCCAACUUUUUGAAAUAAUCACUUUUACUCACUAAUAUUCUUAGUACAGUUGGGAUGUUCCAAUAAAACAACCCAAGACUGAAUCAAUAGUCAUUUUGAAACAAAGAGAGGAAGACUUAUCUAGGAGGUGUAAUAAGUUGAAGCUGACAGGAUAAGUUAUGUAACGCCUGAGUUUCCUCAGUGCUGGGCAAUCUUUUUUUCAAGUAAGCUUUUUAGCCAAGGCAAAUAGAGGUAGAGAUAAACGUGCAGCUGCAUUACAAGGUUGGCGAUACGAUAGUGAAGUGGCGUGAUCAAUGCUUACUCAGUCAAUACUGUAGGUUCACUUAUUGACCCCAUAUUCGUUGGGAACAAACAUUCAGAAAAUAUCUGCGGUUUUUGGGAACAUGUGCAAUUUCCAACAUGAUGGCUGUGUGAGAUAGUGGAAGUUGGUGUAUAUUUAGUCACGGCAGGAGCGUUUCUCAUGCGAAUGAAGAUGCAACGCUCGACAAGACUUGACUUUUGGAGCCGGUGACUGAUUUUUCGGUGGAAGAACAGAGGAAGAGGAACCACGUGACGCUGGCCGUUGAAGGAGGUGAAGAUAGACACUGAAAGAAGUUGAAGAAUAAUAAGAAGAAAGCGGAACAGUCAGCUGUGGCCGCGGCCGGCUGGAGUGGAGAGGCUCAUUACACAGCCGGCGAAUAGGGAUACUGACUGACCCGAUAACCUAGUGAACAGGUCCAACCGAACAAUGAGUCACACCACUAAUUUUCCAUCAUCACAGAUAUAAUAGCUCUGUAAUAAUAAUGGCAGUCAUAAAUUGCUGGUCAGCUCUGCUUCAUCCUACAUUGAAACCGUAUAAACUAGUCAAAUCCAUUUCUGUAAACUAUAAUCAGGAAAGUUGUUUCGUUGGAGGAUUAAUGCAAGUGCGAUAGAUUAAAUUAUUAUAACAAGUG